rnacentral:tRNA from 1 species
GGAAUAGUUCAUUGGUAAGAGAAGACGAUUGCUAAUUGUCUGGGAUACAACCCUUAGGUGUUCGACUCACCUCUAUUCCG